rnacentral:rRNA from 2 species
GGGUUGUGAGGUUAAGCGACUAAGCGUACACGGUGGAUGCCCUGGCAGUCAGAGGCGAUGAAGGGCGUGCUAAUCUGCGAUAAGCGCCGGUAAGGUGAUAUGAACCGUUAUAACCGGCGAUACCCGAAUGGGGAAACCCAGUGUGACUCGUCACACUAUCAUUAACUGAAUCCAUAGGUUAAUGAGGCGAACCGGGGGAACUGAAACAUCUAAGUACCCCGAGGAAAAGAAAUCAACCGAGAUUCCCCCAGUAGCGGCGAGCGAACGGGGAGGAGCCCAGAGCCUGAAUCAGCAUGUGUGUUAGUGGAAGCGUCUGGAAAGGCGCGCGAUACAGGGUGACAGCCCCGUACACAAAAGCGCAUGUGCUGUGAGCUCGAUGAGUAGGGCGGGACACGUGGUAUCCUGUCUGAAUGUGGGGGGACCAUCCUCCAAGGCUAAAUACUCCUGACUGACCGAUAGUGAACCAGUACCGUGAGGGAAAGGCGAAAAGAACCCCGGCGAGGGGAGUGAAAAAGAACCUGAAACCGUGUACGUACAAGCAGUGGGAGCCCCACCACCAAAGCAUUCUCUGGUGUUGAAGGCCCUGCAAAGCAGCAUCGCGGUGGCGGAGCGUCGUUUGCGACGCCCAACACACAAAACAAGCGGUGAGUGCUUUGGGGUGGGGUGACUGCGUACCUUUUGUAUAAUGGGUCAGCGACUUAUAUUCUGUAGCAAGGUUAACCGUAUAGGGGAGCCGUAGGGAAACCGAGUCUUAACCGGGCGUUAAGUUGCAGGGUAUAGACCCGAAACCCGGUGAUCUAGCCAUGGGCAGGUUGAAGGUUGGGUAACACUAACUGGAGGACCGAACCGACUAAUGUUGAAAAAUUAGCGGAUGACUUGUGGCUGGGGGUGAAAGGCCAAUCAAACCGGGAGAUAGCUGGUUCUCCCCGAAAGCUAUUUAGGUAGCGCCUCGUGAAUUCAUCUUCGGGGGUAGAGCGCUGUUUCGGCUAGGGGGUCAUCCCGACUUACCAACCCGAUGCAAACUGCGAAUACCGGAGAAUGUUAUCACGGGAGACACACGGCGGGUGCUAACGUCCGUCGUGAAGAGGGAAACAACCCAGACCGCCAGCUAAGGUCCCAAAGUCAUGGUUAAGUGGGAAACGAUGUGGGAAGGCCCAGACAGCCAGGAUGUUGGCUUAGAAGCAGCCAUCAUUUAAAGAAAGCGUAAUAGCUCACUGGUCGAGUCGGCCUGCGCGGAAGAUGUAACGGGGCUAAACCAUGCACCGAAGCUGCGGCAGCGACACUGUGUGUUGUUGGGUAGGGGAGCGUUCUGUAAGCCUGCGAAGGUGGCCUGUGAGGGUUGCUGGAGGUAUCAGAAGUGCGAAUGCUGACAUAAGUAACGAUAAAGCGGGUGAAAAGCCCGCUCGCCGGAAGACCAAGGGUUCCUGUCCAACGUUAAUCGGGGCAGGGUGAGUCGACCCCUAAGGCGAGGCCGAAAGGCGUAGUCGAUGGGAAACAGGUUAAUAUUCCUGUACUUGGUGUUACUGCGAAGGGGGGACGGAGAAGGCUAUGUUGGCCGGGCGACGGUUGUCCCGGUUUAAGCGUGUAGGUGUGUGUUCCAGGUAAAUCCGGUUCACUUUAACACUGAGGCGUGAUGACGAGGCACUACGGUGCUGAAGCAACAAAUGCCCUGCUUCCAGGAAAAGCCUCUAAGCAUCAGGUAACAUCAAAUCGUACCCCAAACCGACACAGGUGGUCAGGUAGAGAAUACCAAGGCGCUUGAGAGAACUCGGGUGAAGGAACUAGGCAAAAUGGUGCCGUAACUUCGGGAGAAGGCACGCUGACAUGUAGGUGAAGUGAUUUACUCAUGGAGCUGAAGUCAGUCGAAGAUACCAGCUGGCUGCAACUGUUUAUUAAAAACACAGCACUGUGCAAACACGAAAGUGGACGUAUACGGUGUGACGCCUGCCCGGUGCCGGAAGGUUAAUUGAUGGGGUCAGCGCAAGCGAAGCUCCUGAUCGAAGCCCCGGUAAACGGCGGCCGUAACUAUAACGGUCCUAAGGUAGCGAAAUUCCUUGUCGGGUAAGUUCCGACCUGCACGAAUGGCGUAAUGAUGGCCAGGCUGUCUCCACCCGAGACUCAGUGAAAUUGAACUCGCUGUGAAGAUGCAGUGUACCCGCGGCAAGACGGAAAGACCCCGUGAACCUUUACUAUAGCUUGACACUGAACAUUGAGCCUUGAUGUGUAGGAUAGGUGGGAGGCUUUGAAGUGUGGACGCCAGUCUGCAUGGAGCCGACCUUGAAAUACCACCCUUUAAUGUUUGAUGUUCUAACGUGGACCCGUGAUCCGGGUUGCGGACAGUGUCUGGUGGGUAGUUUGACUGGGGCGGUCUCCUCCUAAAGAGUAACGGAGGAGCACGAAGGUUGGCUAAUCCUGGUCGGACAUCAGGAGGUUAGUGCAAUGGCAUAAGCCAGCUUGACUGCGAGCGUGACGGCGCGAGCAGGUGCGAAAGCAGGUCAUAGUGAUCCGGUGGUUCUGAAUGGAAGGGCCAUCGCUCAACGGAUAAAAGGUACUCCGGGGAUAACAGGCUGAUACCGCCCAAGAGUUCAUAUCGACGGCGGUGUUUGGCACCUCGAUGUCGGCUCAUCACAUCCUGGGGCUGAAGUAGGUCCCAAGGGUAUGGCUGUUCGCCAUUUAAAGUGGUACGCGAGCUGGGUUUAGAACGUCGUGAGACAGUUCGGUCCCUAUCUGCCGUGGGCGCUGGAGAACUGAGGGGGGCUGCUCCUAGUACGAGAGGACCGGAGUGGACGCAUCACUGGUGUUCGGGUUGUCAUGCCAAUGGCACUGCCCGGUAGCUAAAUGCGGAAGAGAUAAGUGCUGAAAGCAUCUAAGCACGAAACUUGCCCCGAGAUGAGUUCUCCCUGAGACUUUAGGUCUCCUGAAGGAACGUUGAAGACGACGACGUUGAUAGGCCGGGUGUGUAAGCGCAGCGAUGCGUUGAGCUAACCGGUACUAAUGAACCGUGAGGCUUAACCUUACAACGCCGAAG